AUUACUGCUAUUAUUACCACUACCAUCGUAAUCAUCAUUGUUACCUUCCUUAUGAUAGUUUGCCAUCAGCGCUCGCAUUAUUAUAAUCAUUUUCAUAAUUAUUCUUCACUUUAUCAUAAUUCUCAUAGUGGUUAUGAUUGUAGUAAUAACCACAUAAAAUGGUAAUAAUCAAUUAUCAGACUAAGUAAGUCGACCCAAAAUCCCUCAGUAACAACAACACAGCGACAGUCCUACCCACUUCCCGCCGAUUUUAUUUAUUUUUUUCUUCCUCGCAGCCAUGGCAUAGAACACGCCGAACGUUCGCAUGCAUUAUGAAUCCGGAUUAUUCAAGGUUGCGAAUACCGUCUCACUUUUUAGCGGCGAGUUUUUAUUAUCAUUGUUAUUAUAAUCAUUUGGGGGGAAAAGGGAUAUUUAUAAGCUGGCAGGGGUUUCUGCUGAGAGUUUAACUAGCGACAGUUUUCAAACCGAUCUCAAAUCGAGGAGGUAACUGGCAUUUAGUUAUUUUAUUGCAGGUAUCCUUUUUGUUGGCAAGGUUUGGCAGUCUCGCUCCUUUCCCCUCCCCUGCCAUCCUUACGCUGUGCAGAGACAUGAAAGCUUCUGUCGCGACUCGUGCAGUAACAAGCUUGUAGAAAGUUCUCUAACUUGUCAGUUACCACAAACACGAAUAUCGCCCUUAAAAGAAUGAGGUCGAAAUUACAGAUCACGAGGCUCACAUACUUUACACUCUCACGGUUGACUCGAACAGCAAAGUCCUGCUGAUCCCUGAACAAUAAGUCUGAUGUGCAGAUGAAACAUUCGGCUCUCUUGCUUGUCCUUGAGAAGAUGUGGCUGAAAUAUUCGCCGACACACAGGAGGUAACGAAGGCCGGAGAAGAACCUUUCGAUUAGUGGGAAGCGCCGUGGCACGGUAAUUGGGAAUGACAGGAAAAAUACUUAGAUGAUUGGAGGAAGUACCUCCCUCACCACUGACAGGGCCUCCCUUAUCAUAAUUGCGGCCUCCUUCACCACUGAUGAGCCUGCCUCACCACUGACAGGGUCCCCCUCACCACUGACGGGUCUCACUCACCAAUGAUGGGGCCUCCCUCAAUAUGAAGUUGUCAUCAUUCAAAACUAUUUGGGCUUCCCUCACUACUGCUGGGCCUCAUCGACAAUGAGACCUUUCUUUCUGUCCCAAUCCACACCAUCGCCAGUGGUGUUGGUAAUGUGCUCCAGAUAGCUGAAGUUAAGCAGUCAAGCAGCCAUGAGUUUUAAAUCACCAUUAUGAAAAAGAGAACUGAAAUCAAUAGUGUACCAUUUGUUGACUUCAAAAACAAGUGAAGAAGCUAUCUUAUAGGAAUAUGGGACUGGAAUUGCUAAUAUCAAAUCAGGAAGAGGACUGACACUGUGCACUCAAUCCUACAGCAAGAUGGUCAUCAACUCUACUAUCAAACUCUACUGACCUAUAAUUACUUAAGAAGAAUAUUUGCACUGACAUCAGUAACAACUUUCAAAAUAACUUGAAAGACUUGAAUAUUUCAAAUAAAAAAUAAGGAUUCAAAUAUAAAUUUGAAACCAUCCACAGAAGUGAACAAGUGUACACCUAGAUAUUUGAUGAAAUACCUGUGACUCUUUUACAAACACAAGACAGUGUGAGAGGCAGAGGAGACUUUGGCAUAUAAGGUAACGAGAAUUUCUUUAAUCAUGGUCUUCAUGACUAGAAAAAUUACAAAUGGAUGGACAUAAUUAAUAGUGUCAGUGUUAUCAGAGAAUGGUACGAAGGAACCUUACCUGCAAAACAUGGUUAAAGAAUAUCAGUAUUGGAAACCACUGGUGUAAAAGCGAAAGUGAUUAUAUACAAUCCAGUGUCUGCAAUAGUAAGCUUUACAACACUGUAGGAGUAUCCCUGGAUUAACUUUUUCAUAGAUAAUAUUGAUUGGUAUUUUUUAAUGCAAAGACACAUAUUGUCAGAGGGGUUGGAAAAUCAACAUAAAAGCCCUACUUAAAUGGGAAAAUGUGAACUCAAUUUAUUUAACAUUUCUCCUUCUUGAAUCACCUAAAUCAGGUGAUAAUACAGACAACCUAAAUGCCAAACAGUUUGGUGGGCCUUGGUGUCCUUAAUGUUAUUUUGAAACCUGGGAAGAAUGUCAAUUGUGUGGAUGUUUAGCUGUAACCAUACUUCCCAAUGAGGACAUAAAUAUGAUUGAAAGUAAUUCUUCACACGAAGAUAGAAUUGCAGAUGUUAAAUCUGCUCUUAACCUGUUUACAUAUUCCGUCUGACAAAUUGCUGAUACUUUAAAAAAUAAUGAUAAAUAUAAUUGAUCAAACUUUUUUGCAUAUAGCCUAUACUACAUGAUGUUUUCAGUGUAUCAGAAGCUAUAUACUUUUUAUUCCAACCACCAGAGGGCUAAAGUAUGAUGAGUGGUGGGUAUUUAUAAUACAGUAACUUUGGUUCAUCAUUAUCAAUUUUCCAAAAAGCUUCUUUCAACCAAAAACCGUGGAAUGACAUUCUUGGUCAUACUUUGAAACUGGUGAAACUUCAGAAAUUGAAACUGGUAGCUUUUUUUUCUUGAAAGAGUGUACUAACUGAGUCUUCCCUUUCAUUUCUAUUAUUACUGUUUAUCCUCAUCUUUCAUUUUCCCAAGUUGCUUUCCUUGCUGGAGACUUUUAGUUUGCAACACCUUUCCCUGUGGAAAUUGGUGCUUAACCCUUUCCCUACGGGGCAUGCGCUACGCGAAAACCCCUACGCCAGGCCAUUGCAAUAUUGCAUUGGAAACGUCACACUGGCAUGACGCCCCGGCAUCGGGAAUUUAGCUGUGUCA
rnacentral:lncRNA from 1 species